UACGGGGGGGGCGAGCGUUAUUCGGAAUUAUUGGGCGUAAAGGGCGUGUAGGCGGCCUCGCGUGUCCUCUGUGAAAGCCCUCGGCUCAACCGAGGAACUGCAGGGGAAACUGCAAGGCUCGAGUCCGGGAGAGGAGAGCGGAAUUCCCAGUGUAGCGGUGAAAUGCGUAGAUAUUGGGAGGAACACCAGUGGCGAAGGCGGCUCUCUGGACCGGUACUGACGCUAAAGCGCGAAAGCUAGGGGAGCAAACGGG
rnacentral:rRNA from 1 species